rnacentral:tRNA from 1 species
CGCGGAGUUGUCUAGCGGCGAAGACGCUUGCCCCGGGAGCAAGAGCACGUGGGUUCGAGUCCCACCUCCGCGA